rnacentral:rRNA from 1 species
CGCCUUUUGUUAAAGUAUAAAAGGUCCAGCCUGCCCAGUGACUAAGUUCAACGGCCAUGGUAUUAUGACCAUGCGAAGGUAGCAUAAUCACUUGUUCUUUAAAUAAGGACUUGUAUCAACGGCACCACGAGGGCUAAACUGUCUCCUUUCUCCAAUCAGUGAAACUGAUCUUCCCGUGAAGAAGCGGGAAUAACCCUAUAAGACGAGAAGACCCCAUGGAGCUUUAAAUUUAUAAUUCACCUUUUAAUCUAUCCACAACAUUAUAUUAAUUAAGAACUGAAUUUUAAUUUUAGGUUGGGGUGACCACGGAGUAUAAUAUAACCUCCACGAUGAAAGGCCACUGCCUAAUUCAAGAGCAACCGCUCUAAAAAUCAACCACUUGACAUUUAUGAUCCAAUUAUUAUUGAUCAACGAACCAAGUUACCCUGGGGAUAACAGCGCAAUCCAUUUAGAGAGCUCCUAUCGACAAAUGGGAUUACGACCUCGAUGUUGGAUCAGGGUAUCCUAGUGGUGCAGCCGCUACUAAUGGUUCGUUUGUUCAACGAUUAAAACCCU